rnacentral:rRNA from 1 species
AAAACUGCGGAAGGAUCAUUACAGAAUGAAAGUGCUUAACUGCAUUUUUUUUACACAUGUGUUUUUCUUUUUUUUUGAAAACUUUGCUUUGGUGGGCCCAUGGCCUGCCAGAGAUUAAACUCAACCAAAUUUUUAUUUAAGUCAACUGAUUAACUAAUAGUCAAAACUUUCAACAACGGAUCUCUUGGUUCUCGCAUCGAUGAAGAACGCAGCGAAAUGCGAUAAGUAAUAUGAAUUGCAGAUAUUCGUGAAUCAUCGAAUCUUUGAACGCACAUUGCGCCCUUUGGUAUUCCAAAGGGCAUGCCUGUUUGAGCGUCAUUUCUCCCUCAAACCUUCGGGUUUGGUGUUGAGCGAUACGCUGGGUUUGCUUGAAAGAAAGGCGGAGUAUAAACUAAUGGAUAGGUUUUUUUUCCACUCAUUGGUACAAACUCCAAAAUUCUUCCAAAUUCGACCUCAAAUCAGGUAGGACUACCCGCGAACUAAGC